AGGAGUUUGGAUCCUGGCUCAGAACGAACGCUGGCGGCGUGCUUAACACAUGCAAGUCGAGUGCGCGUCUGUAGCAAUACAGAUGGCGCACGGCGCACGGGUGCGUAACACGUGGGUAAUCUGCCCUUCGAUGGGGAAUAACCUCGCGAAAGCGAGGCUAAUUCCGCAUAACAUUCCUAAGACUUCGGUCCCUGGACUCAAAGCCGUAAGGCGUCGAUGGAGGAACCCGCGCACGAUUAGCUAGUUGGUGAGGUAACGGCUCACCAAGGCUAUGAUCGUUAGCUGGUCUGAGAGGAUGGCCAGCCACACUGGAACUGAGACACGGUCCAGACUCCUACGGGAGGCAGCAGUGGGGAAUCUUGCACAAUGGGCGAAAGCCUGAUGCAGCGACGCCGCGUGGGGGAUGAAGCAUUUCGGUGUGUAAACCCCUUUCGACCGGGAAGAAUGCCUCGCAAGAGGAGUGACGGUACCGGUAUAAGAAGCCCCGGCUAACUACGUGCCAGCAGCCGCGGUAAGACGUAGGGGGCCAGCGUUGUUCGGAAUUACUGGGUGUAAAGGGUUCGUAGGCGGGUGGCAAGUUGGGAGUGAAAUCUCUGGGCUUAACCCAGAGGCUGCUUCCAAAACUGCUGUGCUUGAGUGUGGGAGAGGUGCGUGGAAUUGCAGGUGUACGCGGUGAAAUGCCGUAAUAUCUGCCAGGAACACCCCGUGGCCGGAAAGCGGCGCACUGGACCACAACUGACGCUGAGGAACGAAAGCUAGGGGGAGCAANCAGGGAUUAGAUACCCUGGUAG
rnacentral:rRNA from 1 species